UACGGAGGGUGCAAGCGUUAUCCGGAUUCACUGGGUUUAAAGGGUGCGUAGGCGGACUUAUAAGUCAGUGGUGAAAGCCCGGGGCUCAACUCCGGAAUUGCCGUUGAUACUGUAAGUCUCGAGUACAGUUGAGGUGGGCGGAAUACAUCAUGUAGAGGUGAAAUUCUUAGAUAUGAUGUAGAACACCGAUUGCGAAGGCAGCUCACUAAAGUGUAACUGACGCUGAGGCACGAAAGCGUGGGUAUCAAAC
rnacentral:rRNA from 1 species